UCGAUUCCCUUAGUAGCGGCGAGCGAAACGGGAAGAGCCCAAACCAACAAGCUUGCUUGUUGGGGUUGUAGGACACUCUAUACGGAGUUACAAAGGACGACAUUAGACGAAUCAUCUGGAAAGAUGAAUCAAAGAAGGUAAUAAUCCUGUAGUCGAAAAUGUUGUCUCUCUUGAGUGGAUCCUGAGUACGACGGAGCACGUGAAAUUCCGUCGGAAUCUGGGAGGACCAUCUCCUAAGGCUAAAUACUCUCUAGUGACCGAUAGUGAACCAGUACCGUGAGGGAAAGGUGAAAAGCACCCCGGAAGGGGAGUGAAAUAGAACCUGAAACCGUGUGCUUACAAGUAGUCAGAGCCCGUUAAUGGGUGAUGGCGUGCCUUUUGUAGAAUGAACCGGCGAGUUACGAUUUGAUGCAAGGUUAAGCAGUAAAUGUGGAGCCGUAGCGAAAGCGAGUCUGAAUAGGGCGUUUAGUAUUUGGUCGUAGACCCGAAACCAGGUGAUCUACCCUUGGUCAGGUUGAAGUUCAGGUAACACUGAAUGGAGGACCGAACCGACUUACGUUGAAAAGUGAGCGGAUGAACUGAGGGUAGCGGAGAAAUUCCAAUCGAACCUGGAGAUAGCUGGUUCUCUCCGAAAUAGCUUUAGGGCUAGCCUCAAGUGAUGAUUAUUGGAGGUAGAGCACUGUU
rnacentral:rRNA from 1 species